GACGAACGCUGGCGGCGUGCCUAAUACAUGCAAGUCGAGCGGAAGUUGGAGAGCUUGCUCUUCAACUUUAGCGGCGGACGGGUGAGUAACACGUGGGCAACCUGCCCUGCAGAUCGGGAUAACUCCGGGAAACCGGUGCUAAUACCGAAUAGUUUUCGCCACCUCCUGGUGGCGUACGGAAAGACGGUUUCGGCUGUCACUGCAGGAUGGGCCCGCGGCGCAUUAGCUAGUUGGUGGGGUAACGGCCCACCAAGGCGACGAUGCGUAGCCGACCUGAGAGGGUGAGCGGCCACACUGGGACUGAGACACGGCCCGGACUCCUACGGGAGGCAGCAGUAGGGAAUCUUCCGCAAUGGACGAAAGUCUGACGGAGCAACGCCGCGUGAGUGACGAAGGUUUUCGGAUCGUAAAACUCUGUUGUGAGGGAAGAACAAGUACCACUUAACUACUGGUACCUUGACGGUACCUCACCAGAAAGCCACGGCUAACUACGUGCCAGCAGCCGCCGUAAUAC
rnacentral:rRNA from 1 species